rnacentral:rRNA from 1 species
UACGGGGGGAGCACGCGUUGUUCGGAUUUACUGGGCGUAAAGGGCGCGUAGGCGGUCAGCACAAGUCAGUUGUGAAAUCUCCGGGCUUAACUCGGAAAGGUCAACUGAUACUGUGCGACUAGAGUGCAGAAGGGGCAACUGGAAUUCUCGGUGUAGCGGUGAAAUGCGUAGAUAUCGAGAGGAACACCUGCGGCGAAGGCGGGUUGCUGGGCUGACACUGACGCUGAUGCGCGAAAGCCAGGGGAGCGAACGGG